CACAGUUUGUGUUUCGUUUCAGCUCCUUACCGUCAGAUGGCGAGGCAGUCGAGCGCGGUGUUGCAGACGAUAUCGAACAUGUGGAACUGAAUGCAGACUCUCUCUCUCUCUGCGACGCCGCUUUCGACCGUGUCGCUAUCUGAGGAAAGUAGCUGAAACACAGGUUUUGGCGAAACUAAUACCACACUGCUUUACUCGGACUACCAGAACUGCGUUGUUGGACUUUUCCAUGGAGGAAGUGUUAGGGGGGGGGGGCAAUUACCUUUUGUUGACUGAACUGUCAACCAGCUGGAGCAGCAGCACGUUUAGGAUCGAUGGGCCUCUAUCAUCGUUCAACGCUAUCGCCUGUGAUACAACAGUACCACAACACGUGUAUCACCAGCGCUAUCCAGGCACAGGCAUAAACCCUAUCUCAGCGACACCUACACCGACUAUAAAGGCAGGCUGUGCGCCUUCUGAAGACAGUGGGCUUGGCAUCACAGACGGCGAAAUGCCUCACUUGUUUGCCUUGAUUUUACAGGCGCCGCAAGAAACUGGGGCUAUGAGCGCCGUUACUGACAUGGCAAGAGUGAGACAGGGGAGGAGAAAGAAUUCAGGGACAAGGGCACUAGUGUGCUUCCUGGGCCGACUUGAUGAGUGUCUACGAUCCUUUGCGCUGUCUUUGAGAGUGUAGGAGGCAAAGCAACAGCUGACCCCGAUGGCUGCGUUAGACACAAGAAUCCAACAUAUCACUGGAGUGUUGGCAAGAAAUACCUGUGGGAGUGCCCAUAUAGGUGCACAAAGAAACAAAAAGUUGAGGACAGGAGCGAACCGGAUGGAAGCCGAUACGCAGCAAGUACAAAGGAAGACAUGGUGGGCUUUGGCAGUAUGGAAGAGAUAUCUCUGGGGCCACUACAGGAGGUGGUGCGUCAGAUCUAC